rnacentral:rRNA from 1 species
CCUACGCGAGGCAGCAGUAGGGAAUAUUGCUCAAUGUGGGAAACCCUGAAGCAGCAACGCCGCGUGGAGGAUGAAGGUUUUCGGAUUGUAAACUCCUUUUGUUAGAGAAGAUAAUGACGGUAUCUAACGAAUAAGCACCGGCGAACUCCGUGCCAGCAGCCGCGGUAAUACGGAGGGUGCAAGCGUUACUCGGAAUCACUGGGCGUAAAGAGCGCGUAGGCGGGUUAGCAAGUUCGAGUUGAAAUCCUAUGGUUUAACCAUAGAACUGUAUUUGAAACUGUUAUUCUAGAGUAUGGGAGGGGUAGGUGGAAUUCUUGGUGUAGGGGUAAAAUCCGUAGAGAUCAAGAGGAAUACUCAUUGCGUAGGCGACCUGCUAGAACAUAACUGACGCUGAUGCGCGAAAGCGUAGGGAGCAAACAGGAUUAGAUACCCGUGUAGUC